GCGGUGGAGCAUGUGGUUUAAUUCGACGCAACGCGAAGAACCUUACCUGGGCUAGAAUGCCUCUGACCGCCCUAGAGAUAGGGCUUCCUGGGUAAAACCAGGCAGAGUGCAAGGUGCUGCAUGGCUGUCGUCAGCUCGUGUCGUGAGAUGUUGGGUUAAGUCCCGCAACGAGCGCAACCCCCGUCGUAUGUUGCCAGCAUUUAGUUGGGGACUCAUGCGAGACUGCCGGUGACAAACCGGAGGAAGGUGGGGAUGACGUCAAGUCAUCAUGCCCCUUAUGUCCAGGGCUACACACGUGCUACAUUGGCGCGUACAGAGGGCUGCGAUACCGCGAGGUGGAGCGAAUCCCUUAAAGCGCGUCUCGGUUCGGAUUGCAGGCUGAAACCCGCCUGCAUGAAGGCGGAGUUGCUAGUAAUCGCGGAUCAGCAUUGCCGCGGUGAAUACGUUCCCGGGCCUUGUACACACCGCCCGUCACACCAUGGAAGCAAGCAACACCCGAAGCCGGUGGCCUAACCCCUUGUGGGAGGGAGCCGUCGAAGGUGGGGCUCGUGACUGGGGUGAAGUCGUAACAAGGUA
rnacentral:rRNA from 1 species